GCCUGUCAAAUAGCUCAAGUGGUUGAGCACAAGACUCUUAUCCUCAGAGACGUGGGUUCUAGCUUCACUUUGGGCA